rnacentral:lncRNA from 1 species
CCACAAACAACCGAAUAUUGCGAAGAAAACUCAAAAAUAAACAUAUUAAACAAUUUCUCCAACCCGUUAGAAAAUUGACUAGAAUCAGAGGCUUCCCCCAUCAAAGUACUAUAAUUAACAAAUAUAAGUUCCAGCGAAAAUGAACAGACGACGAAACAACUAAUUCCAUCACACGAAACUAAACAAACGCCAUCGCAGUAAACUAGAGAUCUCUAGAAAAGAGAAGAAGGGAGAUACCAUGGCUUACGGCUAGGUAAGGUCUCUGUAAAAAUGCGAUUUGCAGCAGAGUUCGUCUCAAUUAGGGUUUAGAGUUAUAUAAAAUGGGGCUUAUGAAUUAUGAUGGGCCGGCCCAAAUUCUCAAAUUGACCUUUUAAUUGGAAGUGGUUGGAACUAGAACGUUCAUUCAUGACAUGACGAACAUCAAAAUUAAAUAAUAUCUUUCAAUAAUAAUAAAAAAUAAAAAUAUAAAUUAAUAAUAAAAUAAUACACAUCAAUUACUCAAUACAAUCUUGAAUUUGAAACGUAUAUUUUCAACUUUGUAUAAAGUAUAAUGAUAAUGAUAGAUAUUAAAUCAAUUUAAAUUAUUUGAUAUGAAAAUUGACAUUACACAUCAUCAUCAUCAUCAUCAUUAUGAUUAUUAUUAUUAUUAUUAUUAUAGAGUAUUAAGCAUCAUAAUAAAUAAAUUAAUAUUUUCAUACACACAUAUAAAUAAAAAGUUAUAAAAUGUUAAUGAUGAGAGAAAAAAAUAUAUUUUUAAUUUAAAAUUUUUCAUAAUUUAUUCAUUUUAAAUUCAGUUUUGAUGAUUUUUUUAUACCAUAUUUAAGAUAUUUUCACAAACUUAAAUUUAAGAUGUAGUAUAUUAAGUACUUUUUUCAUGAAUUAUAUUUGAUGAUGUUUAGAAAAAAAAUUAAAGAAAAAAAAAUAGAGAAAAAUAGUGAAAAAAAUUAGUAAAAGAAGAGAGAGAAAAUGGAGGGAAAAUUGGAGGAAAAAACUCCUCUUUUAUAUAUUAUAUAGAUUUANUAUAUUUGAUGAUGUUUAAAAAAAAUUGAAGAAAAAAAUACAGAAAAAAUAGUGAAAAAAAGUAAAAGAAGAGAGAGAAAAAUAGAGAGAAAAGUUGGAGGAAAAAAACUCCUCUUUUAUAUUAUAUAGAUAUAUAGAUAUAUGAAAAACAAAAUUUAGAUCCUGUUUUUUUUUUUUUAAUUCCAUUAGAUCCUGUUUCAAAACACACAUUUGAUUCAAUUUUUGAUUUAAUUUAAUGUACAUUUAAAUUAGUUUAUCAAAUUUUAUUGUAGUCUUGUCAUUAGUGUAUUAAAAAUCUAUCUAAAUAUGAGGAUAUAUAUAAAAAAAAAAUUACGUGAGAAUCUAAAUAUGAGGAUGAUGUGAAAAAGCAAUUUUUACGUGAGAAUUAUGAGAAGGUCGCAUAAAUUCAUAUAUUUCAUGAAUAAGAAAUCACCAAUGUAGCCUAAUAAACAUAAUAGAGGUGGCACGAGUUUUUAAAAAAAUGUGAUAAUUGUGUUUGAGUGAAAAUUGGGUCAUAUGUGGGUCAUAUGUCUCUUUGUGGGUUUCUUUUCAAAUAAUGAAAGGGUGAUUUUAUACAUAGCCCCCUUUUUACUCAUUGUAGCCUCCUAAUUAAAGUUAAUAAUAAAAAUAUUAAUAGAAUUACUAUUUUAUCCUGGUAGUCCUAAAUUACAGGGGGCUACGUAUAGAAAAAAAGCAAAAUACUGGAGCACCGUAUAACCUCAUACAUAUGAAGAAGAAGAAGAUUAAAAAGGAAAUUUGUUCAGGGUCUGCUAAAAAAUAUUAAGGAAAAAUAAACAUUAAAGCUUGAGUUGAACAAGAAACCUCUAAUAAUAAUCCCAUUGGUAUAGCUGCAAGCCUGCAACUAAAACAGAGGGGAAAAAAGUGAUUCUGCUAUGUUUUGUUAGGCCGACUCAAGUGUGAAAUUUAUGUUGAUUUCUGUUUAUCCUAAUUUUGAUUUUAUAGUAAAGUUGUGACAUUGCUACUAUAUACUAUGCUUUCAUAUUCUAAAUAUAUGCACUUUUGUAUUGAAUUGGAUGGUUGGAAUUCAGUCGCGCGAUUAUGUUAAUUUUAACAUUGAUUAAUGAGAUGUUGGUGACUGACUAGGUUUUGUGUAGAAGUGGGGUUUUGAUUACUGUUUUUGUGCAUUAAGUGAUUUUUGAGCAGAUUGUGGUUAUCUAAUUUGUGAGAAGAAUAGGAUAUUUUGGCAAUUUGUAUUUUAUUUCGUUCUUCAAUUAUCUCGUGAAACACAAUUGUUGACGAAGUGCAGGAAAAUUAAUUUUUAAUUAUCUUAAACUUUUAGUGUUCUAGACGAUCUGAUUUAUUGAAGAAGUGAAAUUAUACAUGUAAAUUGUGGUGUUUGUAUAUUAUAAUAUUUAAAAGUAAAUUUGUUGAUGCCUAUAAUAGAAGCAACAAGAUAACAUAUCACCAACAGUUGGUUAAAUUCCAUCGUAGAAGUUAUUUCUUCAAAUGUUGGGGCUAUGGUGAUGUAGUUAUUAACUUGUUAUUUAUUAGAAAAUGAAUUUGUAUGCUGUAGGGCUAAAAUUGUAAUUUUAUAAAUACUAUUAUUAUUAUUUUAUUGAAGGGGCUGUAGUGAGAAAAAAGGGGGCUAUGUAUAAAAUUACCCAUAAUGAAAUGUCACAAUUUUUAGGAACAUCCCAAUAAGGUCAUAAUUUUUAGGGACGAAGAGAGUAUUUAUUUGUUCAGUCUGAUUAUUUUUUGUUCAGAAAUUUGACUUAUGCAUGUAUUCUCCAUUAUCCAGAAAGAAUAAGAAAAAUAAGAAAAAAAAUAAGGUCAUGUUUCAUGGGACGGAGAGAGUAAUAAGGUCAUAAAUUUGACUUUUGUUCAGUAUUUAUUCGUUUAUUUUGAUGAAAACUAAGAAAAAAUAUAUAUAUUUUUUCUAUUUUUUUCCUUUUCCACAAGUUUUCACAUGUUUAUUAUGAUAGAAUUUUUUUUUCGAGCAGGGUAAGAAAAUACUUUUUUGAACAGUUCACUUUCACUAAUUUCCAAAUAUGCUCAUAUUAAUAUAAUUUCGACUUUUACUCUUGUCCAAAAUUGAAACCGCCACUCGAGUAUUUCAUGUUUAUUAAUAAAUAUAAAACUUUAUGGCAGUAGAAGAUUUUUAUCGUUAACUUUCUUCAUGAUUUUAUUGCCAUCUUCUUCUUUUUAUGAUAAAUUAAUAAAUAAAAAAAUUUAAAGACUGCACAACGAUGAACUCGAAUCCAGCAUGCAUGCAGAAGCCAAGUUGCAAAAAAUGAACUAGCAAGUUUGAAAACGCACAAAUAAUUAUCAUGCAUGCUCUUGUACACCCUAUUUUUCCUCAUAUAUAUGAUCCUCCUAAAUAUCGCCAAAAUCUUCCAAUUUACUAAAUUUUAAAUAAAGUUCUACCAAGCAACGCUAUAUGCAUAUAGAGGAAAUAAAUAAGAAUUAACACAAAAAAGAAAAGAAAAGAAAAAGAAUUACUAACACAAAAUCAUCCUAUCCAUCAACAUACAUAAAAUGCAUCAAAAGUUCAAAACAUAUAUAUGACAAUGCAAGACACUACUAACACAAAAUGUGAAUACACAAUGAAUUUUGUGAUAAUUAAAUUUUCAGCCCACUAUCUUAGCAUCAAAGGGGGAUUAAUCUAUACAUAUAGAUUAAGAGGAAUUCAGCUACAAGUAAAAUCUUGACAUCGAGAAUGAUAUAUAGUGGUGGGCACUAGUAAACGACGAUUGAGAUGAAAAACACAAUGAUAUGGAGAUUAAUACAAGUGCUUUCAAAGAGAGAAGAAAGUCUGCAGAAUGUUGAAAUGCAGGAGAAAGAGAAACCAACGCCAAAUAGUAAAUAUAUAUGAAACCAUUAAACAUUUAGUUUAGAUUAGAUUCAAUUUUAUAUAGUUUUUUAAAUUGGGGAUAUCAUCAGUACUGGUUUAAUUUAGAUUCGAUUUUAUAGAGUUUUUAAAAAAUGCACGGAAUUUAAUUUUAUAAGCCAUAAUGUUGUGACAAAAUGAAAACUUAUGCGCUUAAUAUUUGAAGUGGAGAUGAAGAUAUGGAAAUACUCAUGGCGAAUCCAAAAUUUGAUAAUGGAAUGAUGAAAAAAAAAAAAACGCUUCGGUGCCAGUGUCACUGUCACAUUGGUGAUCGAAGGAGCUCAUACCUCGUAGAUCCACCCAUGGAACACAAAAUAUCUUGUAGGCCCGAGUGUCGUAUCCGAUCCAAAUACUGACCCAGAUUUGACCCAAUUGAACUAUUCUACCCGAAUGUCAAGUGUUAGUGUCACUUCGAUAUAGUGUUAGUGUCAUUUUCGAAAUAGUGUCAUUUGUAAAAUAAAAUAGUGUUAGUGUCAUUUCAAGAUCGAAAUGAGUCAGGAUAGUCCAAUUGGGUCAGGAUUCGGUUCAAGUACAAUCCGGGUGUACAUGAGACCACCUCCCCAUAGAAUCAUAUAUGAUACACGACAAUUAAAUGACUAUACAUGUCCAUAUAUUCCUUGAUAAAAGUGGGAUAAACCUAAAUAUGGCAUAGUAUUAUUUUGUGGACCUUCACUAGAAUUCUCUUAGCUAGGUUAGAUGAUAUUUUAGUCGAUUGAUCAUGUUUUGUUGGAUGCAUAAACUAUUUAAUUUCACCAUUUAAAUUUAUUGUAGUACAUCCAUGCAUAUUAAUUAGUAAGCAUCUUAAAUAUCUUCUGAGGUUCAAAUUAAGCUACUCAAAUAUGAAUACGAGAUUGAAAGCGCUUCAAUUCAUCCCACUUAAAAUUAAAUACUACUAGUAUUUUCCCUCGUGCGAUGCACGAAAUUUAUUUUGUUAUAUAUAUAUAAUAAAAUAUAUAUACUAUAUAUAUAUAUAUAUAUAUAUAUAAUAUGUAAAUCAAUUAUAAUAGUUAUAAAUAUUUGAAAAAUUACAAGUACAAAUACUUUUUAUAAUUAAAAUAUUUGUAGUAGAAUAUAUGAUAAAAUAUGUAAUUUUCACAACGCUAGUAUUUUAUAUUUUGUAGAGUAUUUUCAUAUAAAUGUUAAACCAAACAUUAAAAGAAUAAAAAUUAAUUGUAAGCUAAUAAACAUACCACCUAGAUUUUGCAUACCGAAAAAGUUUAUUUCCCCAUCAACUAUUAUACAAAAAUACAUUUAAUUGCAUGUUAUAAAAAAAAGAGCAAUUAAAAAUAAAUAUCGUACUGAUUUUGAUAUUUAUGUCGAAGAACAAAUUACUCUCCUACGACUCCUCCAAUGUUGAAUCAACAUUUCGGUCGAUAUAAUUUAUUUCUUUAAAAAUGAGUGGGCAAAUUGUGCAUAUAACAUUACUAUGUAUAGUGUAUCCAACUAACCAUCAUUACAUUUUUUUUUAAUAUAAUAUGUAUGUCAGUUAAUGCAUCAGCUAGCAUCUAAAACAUGCAGAUUAAUUACUCAUUUCCCAUUAAUUUUCAAGAUUAGUGUUAAAAAUGGAUUAACAAAUUCAAGUAAAAAUAUAUAAAAAAAGAAUUUUUGUAAUGUUUAUGCAAUACCUAGCAUACAUUUGAAUUGUCUUUUAUGCGUAAACUUAUGAUGAAUGAGGUUAUUCCGAGAAAAAUGAAUGUUCUAAGUUAGAUCGUCAAAUUCUAAUAUGAAUUAUGUGAUAAUUUCACCAUAAAAAAUAUUAUAUCUAAAGCAUUUUCAUUGAAUAUGCAUUAUAUAUAUAUAUAUAUAUAUAUCAAUAUAUAAGUGAAUUACGGUAAUACAAGUGCCCAUCUUUUUGAUAUACAGUAAAAUACUUCUUCGAAUAUACAAUCUAAUUUUUCUACCUAAUUAUCUAUCUAUAGCAUGUGCAUUAUUUAGAGUAUCAAUUUGAAUUUAUAAUUUGUGAAUAUGGAUAUACAUAUAAAAUUAAAUAAAAGACCAUUCAAAUAUAGUUUUAGUAAUUGAUCGUUAGUUUUUAUAAUAUAUUAGUGGAUUUAUUUGAAUUUUUUGAAUGGGUUAAUGUGUAAGUGAGAUAGUGGGGUGAGUGGGAUAUAAUUUAUUUGUAACCUUCAUGUUGAAUAUAUUUUCAAAAUUGCCAUUCAAAUCAAUUUCAAAUUGAUUUGAAAUCAAUUUCUAAUUGAAAACUGAUGUUUUAAUAUAGUAUAGAUUACUGUAUAAAGUUUCUGAUCAAAAUUGGGAAUUCUCAAUUUAUGUAUCAGUUUGAAUAUGUAACAAUAUCGAGACAAUUAAUGUUUCGUCCAAUUCUGUUGAUUUCAUUAAAUUAUUAGUUCCAACUCGGAUUAUAGGAAAACAAAUUUAAAUGAUCUUAAGAGGUGAAGAUUUAAAACAGAUGAAGAUCUUUCUAUUUCAAGGUACAAGACAAAAUCACUUUAUGCUGGAAAGCUAGAUACAAAUAUUGUAACAGUAGGAAAAUAUCAUGGCAUUGAAUAAUGUAUGCUGGCUAAAUAUCACCUCGUAUCUCUUCUGAAUCGAACUGCCCUCUAGUAUAAGGAAAUUCAGAAGCAGUUUUUUGAUUUCUCAUUUCUAUAUAUUCAAUGGUGGAUAAAAUGAAUAGUUUUAUUUAUUUAUUUUUUGAGGAGAAACACUUUCAUUACAUUCAUAUAGACGUACGUGCAUUACCAAAAGUUCAUCACACAUAAUUUAUUUUGUAAUUUUGUUCAUUCCUCAUCUACAAUAAGUUAAUUUUGAUAAUUCCUCAUCCACAAUUAAGCAUUGAAUUAAUACAAGAAAAGAUCAUACUAGACAAGAAAUAUAAUUAGAUAAGUAGUCAAAACUUUGUUAACCGCGCCUCAUGCACUUAAUCAAACAAUUACGCAAUCCAACAAACUGUUAACAAAGACACCUACUAACACAGUAUGUCGAUACAUAAUUUCGUACAUCAAAAGGGGAUUAAUCUUCAUAUGUUUUAAGAUUUAGAGGAAUUAUUUACCCACGAAUGAUGAUCUGGACGUCGAGAACGAUAGUGGUGGGCGUUAGCAGACGACGAUUGAGAUGAAAGACACAAUAAUCUCCAUCCUUGAGGCGGUUGGCUGCAUAGAAAGCAGGCCAUCCCGCUUUCAUUCUGAAUCGAAUUCCACCGCUGUUCUCGUUCGACAGCGAUACCACCCAACUUCUCCCCUUGGGAUCAUUCAGAAUCACCCUCCACUGUUGCGGCCCGCCCAAAUUAUUCGCCCUCAAGAAUGGCACCGGAAUAUUCUGAAAUAUAUAUCAGCAACACACCUCAUCACUCAUCAUAAUAUAUACAUAUACAUAUACAUGAAUUGAUUGAUGAUUACCACUUUCGUCUUCUUCUUAGCAUGGAAAGGCUUCAUCCUCUUCUCGAAAUACUCUUUCGAGACCCCGUUCUUCUUGCUUCUCUGCAAUUUUAACAUAAUCGAAUUAUUAAUAAGUCAUUCUCAAUUAGAAAAAAAAAUAUAUACACCAAGUUAAUUAAUUAAUCAUUAGUUUUUCACCCAUGGGAUUUAGGGUUUCUUCUUCAUCUUCUUCUUCCUCUUCUUCUUCUUCUUCUUCUUCUUCUUCUUCCUUCUUCUCGUUGUGAAACUCCUUCUCGGUCAUGUUUGUGCCGAACACAGAGACGUUGAAACGCAGAUCAUCGGUGGGUUUGAAGAAGACGAACUCUCCGAUUGUUAAAGCGUGGCGCUCCACGAAUUCAGGCCAUCCUCGCUUCAUACAGAUCAGCCCAUUUUCGUGGUUUUUGCACAAACUCACGCUAAAUUUUCCGAUUCGGCUUUCCAGAAUCACUCUUCUCCAUUUCCGCGCUUCUACCUGCUUGGAAACAAUUGGUGGAAGGUUCUGCAAAAAUUUGAAAUAGAAAAUUCUUUAUUUUGGUGUGUAUUGUUGAAGCAUGGCGUAGAUGAAAUGAAAUGGUCGAAAUAAAUUUAUGAAACAUAACAUGAUGUAGAAGAAGCAAAUUAGAAACGAAAAGCUGACCAUUUUUUCGUGGAAACCAGGCAUCAUGACUUUCACAAAGUGCGUUGUAAUUGAGAGCUCAUGUCUUCCUUCCAUGGUGAAACUAAAGCAGAUGGAGAUGAAUACAAGUGGUUGAGAGAUAAUUUGCAGCAGGAGAAAGAGAGAUGCAAACCAAAUACUAGUGGAGUAUGCUAUGAGUAGGGUUUAGCUAGGAUAGUAGGAAUUUAUUGUUAUUGGUUGAGACUUUCACCAAUAUGGGGGAUUUGAGUAGUUCUGCUUUGAUAAAAUUUGCAGUAAACACAGAAAGGAAGAAGAUAGCUUACCCUUAAUUUAGGCAUGAUUUCAGAAACUUUGAUAAUAUUGAAACUGUUCUCAUUAUCGCUCUAUAUGCACACAAUUCCUAGAAUAGCAAUGUAGCAAUACAACAGUAGCGUAGCAUAGCAAAGACAAGGCUAAAGCUGCAACGUAAGUAAAGCAAAACAAACUAAACAGCUGGCAUUAGCAUUAGACUUGAAUAUGAAAGGCACGUGCUGGUGACUUCCCCUUCCCCGCCAACCCCCAGAAAUUCACCAAAAAUAUGGAUUUGAGCAAUCAACAUUCAAUAUCUUCACCAAAAAAAGGAAAUGUCAAGAGAAAUUGUCUUCUGUAAAUACCUUUAGGCGGCUUGAGGGUUGUACUGGUCCCGAUGAGGUGGCGAAAUCAGUGGGGAAAAAANNNNNNNNNNNNNNNNNNNNNNNNNNNNNNNNNNNNNNNNNNNNNNNNNNNNNNNNNNNNNNNNNNNNNNNNNNNNNNNNNNNNNNNNNNNNNNNNNNNNNNNNNNNNNNNNNNNNNNNNNNNNNNNNNNNNNNNNNNNNNNNNNNNNNNNNNNNNNNNNNNNNNNNNNNNNNNNNNNNNNNNNNNNNNNNNNNAAUUAAAUGUGGGUAGGUAGGAAAAAUAGAAAAUGUGAAAUAAAUGAAUUAAAUUUUUUUGCCUAAUUUUUUAAAAACGUGUCAUGCUUCGGUGGGACGGGAGGGAGUAAUAAAAUUACAUGAUAUAAAACAUAAAUUAUAUGAAAUUAAUGAUUAAAAAAUUACAAGAUAUAAAAUAUAAACUAAUGAAAUUAAUGACUAAAAAAAUUAUGGGUUAACGUAUAAUUUGAGAAAAAUAUAUAUUGAUAUAAUUGAAAAUCAGAAAAAAUUAAAAGGAGAGAAAAAAUAAAAAGAGUAUUUUUUUUGGAUAUGAGUUUAGUGUAAAAUGUUGAAGAUGACCUAAGAGCAUUUUUUAUACGUCUAGAUUCAUUUUUUUCAAUGAAUAAAUAAAAAAUCAAAAUAUUGUAUUUUUUUAGUAGAAGAACUCGCAAACACAUUCAGUUUUUUUUUCUCUUAUACAUUUAGUUUUAUACUGUUAUUGGAUAAUUAGUUUGGGAUAUAAGAUGAAAUAGUUUUGUCUAUUUAAUUUUGUGUUAAUAAUGAAAAUUACCUAUUUCAGUUUGUAAGGAAAAAAUAUUCAUUUUUUUAUAAUAUAUAAAAAUAGUUUUUUCUUCUGUCUCAAUUCAUUUUUACUUAUUCCCUUCAAUAUGUAUGAUGUGUUUCUUUUAUAAUUUUAAGAAAUAAAAUAGAAGUUUCCAUCAAACAUGAUGAAGAUUAAAACAUAUUUAUGGCAGAACUGAGAGAUUUGAAGUCAUGUAAAAAAUAGAACAUUCGAAUACAACAUAUGUGAAUAUGACCUUUUUUCUAAAAUGUUAAAAGCAACAUUUGUUCAUGAGAUUUCAUUUAUUUGUAGUAGCUAGCUAGAUACUAAAAUACUAGUAACAUUGAUUCUACUCAACUACCUAGUGCUGCUAUUACGUUACAAAUUUCGAUCAACAGCUGCCAACUUGGCCGGAUCCUAGGAAAACAAAUUUAAAUGAUUUCUUAAUUAAGAGAUGAAUAUUUAAAGUACAAGAAGAUCUUUCUAUUUCAAGCUACAAGACAAUACACUUUGUGCUAGAGAGAGAGAGAUGAUACAAUUGUAACAGUUGGAAAAUAUUCGAUUAAUCUGAUGUUUGUGGAACUCAUUGCUUCCAUUAUCAUGAUAACAGUGCCCCCUCCCUCUCUCCUUCUGCAACUCUAGAUUUCAACUAUUCUCAAAUGGCAGUUGGAACCAAAUUUGUGAACAUAAUGAUGCCCGAUCUCAUGGAAAGAAUGGUUACUUCUCUACCUUCCCUUUUAUUUCUUUUCCUAACGUUUUGGUUAUCGCAAAUUUUAAAUAAACUAACAUUUUGUAUAUGGCACUCAUGCAUCUCAAUAUUUUGCAUUGUUGCACAGAAGGUGCCAUCAGCCUACUGUGAGAAGCUAAAACAAGAGAAAUCAAGAAAGGCAGUGUUGAAAACUCCUAAAGGAAGUUGGGAAAUGAAGGUGCGCAGAGACGAUGAUGGUGACAUCGUCUUUGAAGACGGAUGGCCACGAUUUGCCCGCGACCACGCCCUGAACGACCGCGAUUUUCUAGCGUUCGAGCACACGGGCAAUCUGCACUUCGACGUCGUCGUCUGCGACGCCCGCACCGCCUGCGAGAAGAAACCUAUCGCGGACUGCAGGAAUGCUAUGCCGCAAAAUCAAGACAAAGGUGGUCUUAUCAAUUCAUUUUGCAAUUAUAAAAAUUAAUGAGAGAGUAAUAAUCUGUAUACUAUGUUGAUUAAAUUGCAGGGAAGGCAGAGAAGAAAGGUGUUAUUGAAUCCCAAAUUAUGCCGUCUUUCACCAUUGACAUAACACCUUAUAUCGUCCCCACUAAAUUUAAAAGUCCCGUAGUGGUAAUGUUUUCUUGUACUAGUAUUAAAUUAUGAUAUAGCUAUUCUAAAAUGUAGGAAUAGUUAAUAUCAUAUUUGGAAUGGAUAUAACAUGAAAAUAUUUGAUUGAAAUAAUGAUAAAAUGUAGCAUUAUUUGUUAAUUUGUUAGGGCCCGCUUGAUUUUCAGUAUUGGAUUAAUCAGGAUAUAAAUUAUCCUGAUAAUUUAGUGUGGAUUAGUCAUGAGUUAUAAUCUCAGAUGAGUGUUUGAUAUCAUUGGUAAUUAAUCCCAAAAAGUGUUUGGUAUCCAUUGAAAUAGGUUGGAUUAACAUAUCAAAUACCUAAAUUAGUAGCCUAUGGAGGGGGUGGAAUAAUUAGUGUGGGUUAAUCCCAUGGGGGAGAUGGGAUAAUUAGUGUGGGUUAAUCCCACAAAAUAAGCUAGGGUCUUGGGAUAAACCUGGAGUUGACCAUAUUAGUAACACAUAAUAUCAAACACUACAUAAAUCCAUAUUAAUUUAACUUAUCCUGCUUUUAAACCCAUAUCAAACAGGCCCUUAUAUGGUGCAGGGUAUCCCGGCGCAGUUUGCGAGGAGGAGCAAUCUGGACAGCAAAAAAAGCAUAAGUUUAAGGGACCCUAAAAACAGAAAAUGGCCCAUAAAUCUGAUAGUUAAACGCGAGCCCUACUUUCGCGUGUCCAUGUGUGGUGGGUGGCGUGACUUUUAUGCAGCUAAUGCUAAGCACCUCAAAAUUGGAGAUAAGUGCAUCUUUCAUCUCAACUCCACUUCCUCAACCUCCAAAACUGCAGCCCUUGAUGUGGAGUUUUAAUUUCAUCUAAAUCUUUUGGCUUUUAAUUUCAUGAUUCCAAUAUGUAUUAACUACUCUACUUAAUUUCAUGAUUCCAAUAUGUAUUAACUACUCUACUUAAUUUGUGGACUUUAAUGUCUUAUGUAUUUCCAUAUAUGCUUCUUAGGGUUUCAAUAUUAUCAUUUUGCCUUACUAUUUUAUUUUAUUUUUAAUAAAUUACACAAGUAAAUUAAGAAAUUUAUGGAUAGAUUAUACAUAGCUUUUAUUAAUGUGAGCAUUUCUCAAAUUUAAAUGUUUGAGUGCAUAGGCUACACAAAGAGGAAUUUCUAGAAGCUUAAAUCAUAUUUAACAAAAAAAUCUAACUUAAUUUAUCAUUUAUUCUGAUGAAUUAAUUAAUUAUAUACUUGCUUAACAUCUUAUGUUUCAAAUAUUCAAUCCAAUAAUUAUUAAUCAUUAAUCAUAAUACUCAAAGUAUACACCCGUAUGAAUUCACACUUAUACCUCGAUUAAUGCACUUAAUCAAACUACUACUACAACAAUAUAGCGAACCAACAAACUGUUAACGAGAAGAAGCUGAAUAUUUAUGGAAUAAAUUUCAUAAACUGGUUCAAUGUCAGUAACACAAGAUUGAGUUACAAGAUGUCUAAUAUUUCACCAAACAUAUAGCCAACACACAAAAAUGUCGCUGCAGUAUUCCCACAUAACAAAGCAAAUUAGAAGAGGGAAGUUCCUUUGCCCUUUUUGUCGCCACCGAUUUCAAAAUGCUUGCAUCUCUGCAAAGAAGAUGGUGAUUGCAGCCUCAUUAGCACAAAAAGAACAUAGAGAGAUAGAGAGAUCGAAACAGAUGUGCAGAAAUGAAGAGCAUACCUUGAUUGGGUGUUGGGAGACAUGCUUGCAGCCCUGGCAUUGCAGCCUCAACACAAUCUUCUUGGUUGUUUUGGCCUGCCCAAGAACAACAAGAACCAUAUUUAUUAACACUUCUAGUUCAAAAUCAUACUACUGAAAACCUAAGAGACUUACUUCAUUCUAUCAAACACUACUGAGCAUACUUGAUUGAAAUGGAAAUAGUUUGCUAAAACAUAGUAACAUGCAAGAAUUCACCUUCUUGUGGAAGACAGGCUUGGUCUGACCACCAUAACCUGACUGCUUGCGAUCAUAACGUCUCUUUCCUUGAGCAGCUAAACUAUCCUUUCCCUUCUUGUACUGGGUCACCUUAUGCAAGGUGUGCUUUUUGCACUCCUUUGAUUUGCAGUAAGUCUUUUUUGUCUUUGGAACGUUCACCUGCAAAUUUGAAAUCGGAAUAAAUCAAUAAAAGAUAUUCAAACAAAGGCCGAAUGGAACUGCAAAAGUCAAGCAUAAGCUGCAAUAGAACCAUGUACUAAAUCUUACACCAAGAUAAGAAGAUAGAAACAAUACUCUUCCUAAAUUUUCAAGCAAGUGAACAAAGUUGCUAUAUUACAAGAACAUCGACUGACAUGGUAUAAAUUCCCCAUCUGGAUCUUACCGAGUAUUUCUUGUUCAUGCAUUACUAGUAAACCAUGUAAAAAACACCCAAUUAGCUUCUGGAUUGAAUGAGUAGUUUCAGAGAAGAAAUUCCAUAUUUAUAAUGAGAUUAAAUAAGUUCACAAAUCGCAACUAAAUCAUGAUAGUGUUAGGCAAACGUGCAUUCAGCACUCGGAUCACAGAAAAAUCCAAUAUUAAUUUGUAUUGUUAGCUAACUCAAGCUUAAUGCACAUUUGCAUUGACAUUAUCAACAGAACCGUAACCGAAAACAAACACACAAUCAAAUUAUAAUAUGGCAAUGAUUAUUUACAAAGCAAAUCUAACAAAGUACCCAGUUCAACAAAUAUAUCUUCCACAAACUCAAUCCCGCAAGAAAAUUGACCAAAAUCAGAAGCUUUUCCCCAUCAAAGAUUUCCAACUAAAAUGAAUAGACGAUAAAACAACCUAUUACAUCAUACGAAACUAAACAAACGCCAUCGCAGAAAACUAGAGAUCUCGAGAAAUGAGAAGAAGGAGAUACCAUGGCUUACGGCUAGGAAGGUCUCUGUAAAAUUGCGAUUUGCAGC